GUUUUGUACCUCAUAUGUUCACAGGGUGGUGCCCAGUGCCCAGUGCCCAGCACAGUGUCUGACUCACUAGUAACCAGAUAAAGACUUACAGGAACCCUGCAACCUGAUAACUCAACACUGGUACAUGAAACCAGGAAAACAAUCCAGAAAGGCAGACAAGACUCCCAUUUUGAGAUGUCUUAGGAUCCAGAGUUACACUGUUCAGUACAAUUGUCACUAGCCACAAGAGACCAUUCAAAUUUAAAUUCACUAAAUUAAGAAGAAUGGUAGAAUCUGUUUUUCAACGAUGUCAGUCUUAUUGCCAGUGCUCAGUGGUCACACUGGUUGUAGCUUUCUAGUUCCCAUCAUCAAAGCUAGUUCCAAAGGGAGAGGUUUUUGUUUCUGAUAAUUAUGGUGAGCUUUAUCUAUUCCUAUACCCUUGUGAGAGCACUGGGAUUCACUGUUUCUGUAACAGUGACUUGGAACUCAUAUAGCUUGGUCAAUGACAAGUCUGGUAUUGAAUCCAAUUACUCUGAUGCCACAGAUUGUUGUGGAUUAAUGGGAUGUGGACAUACUACGGAUUUCCUUACAACGUACCAGGGUAGGAAACAAACAACCAAAACAUCAAAGUUCUCUUUUGGCUUCCUGUGUGAAUACAGUCAAUUAUGAAGACAGAAUGGAAGCACCAGUGUGAAUGCAGGCUGGGGAAAUUAUGGACAACAGAAGCUUAUUUGCCUCACAGUUCUGAAGGCUGGAAGUCCAAGAUUCAGGGACAUCUAACAUGGACCCUCUUGCUGUGUCCAACAUGAUGGAAGUGAUCAUGUGCAGGAAUGGGAGGUGAAAGUUUUUCACCUCUGUCAUACCAUCAAUCCAUCUGUUUCCAGUCCCAAGGAUAUUUCUACUGCAGUGGCAUCUUGCUUUGCCAGGUGGUGGCUACACCCUAUGAGCCUGGCUUCAGGUGUGCAGAAGUGACCCCUUAUAAAGUAGAGGAGAGGCUGGCUUGCUCUCUUGGCUUGUGGUAAGAUCAUCG
rnacentral:lncRNA from 1 species